CUGGAAAUGGCGGUGUGCGGUGGUGGUAUACCUGUUGCAUUUGGGAUUUCACUGAGAGAAUAAGAAGGAAUCGACGAUGGAGUGCUACGCAACUAUUGCACCAGUGAAGGAUGUCUGUGUGCCGGUUUGUGCUCAGUUUCUCAGCCAGCGGCCCUGAGAAAGUGUGCCACAGCAGUCUGUCUAGUGGUGCUCUUUGUUCUGGAAGGGCGCAAGCAUUGCAAGGAGCCAUUUGACCUGCCGCCACACUAAUAUUGUAUUUGGUAAGGUCUAUUACAGUUCUUAUUUCGUGUAGUAUGUGCUAUAAUUGUGUACAAUGUGUUCAAAACUUCAGUAGGUGGGCUGUUCGACAACAGGUGUUUACAAAUUAAUAAUUAUAAAAGAUGUUCAAGGUCAUUAGUGAUCCAAUUGCUGCUCACUGCUGAAUUUUUUUCCAAAUUAAACGAUGAGCCAUCCAGCAAGUGCGGCUCUCCUGGCUAAUUAUACAAACUUUCAAAUACGGUUAAUUUUUUAUCACAAGUGUACAGCAGUCGGGGACAACUGUUCGCAGCGACAAUUUCUUAAUAUUUACUUACAUGCAAAAGUGAGUCAAAGGUCAGGUGUACUUAUGAAGUUUUGUGAAACAAGUUCAUCAUCAUAUUGCUUACUUCAUUGAAAAGUUUGUCGCGGAAUUCUCACUUCUAUGAACAGAUCAACAGUUGUCGAACGAUGGUCGUCUCUAUAGCCAAUGUUUGGGCAAGAGGCUUGUCUUCAGAGCACUAACAAGAGACUUCUUUGCCAUGCAGCUUGAGCUGAUCAGUAUGAAGAGAUUACAUAGGAUAGGAACACAAAGCAUUAGUGGGCCUCUUCGAUUAUCAGUCCUUGACAGUCCUGGACUGCUUAGCACUGCUGUCCCGCAUUCGAUUUUCUCAAUCAGCUUAGGAAGCCCCAUCCACCAGUCUGAGGGCAGCCAGUAUCACAUUCGUUUUACCAGAAGUCACAGACUCUGCGGACUCUCAGAGCUGUCAGCAGAUAUUUGUUCAGACAUAUGCAAGUAGCUACCAGACGGCGGCUGUCUUAUAAAGAUGCAUGCGGGCUUGACGCCAUGUUUUAAAAGAGGCUGUGUGUUUAUGUGUACUUUGCGCGUUCCAGACAGAAAAUAUCAUGCACUCAGCUAUC